AGCGGGGUAAGACAGUUUGGAGUGUCUGCUGGGCUCAUAACCCAGAAGUCGUUGGUUCAAAUCCAACCCCCGCUACCA
rnacentral:tRNA from 1 species